UGGGGAAUCUUGCACAAUGGGCGAAAGCCUGAUGCAGCAACGCCGCGUGCGGGAUGAAGGCCUUCGGGUUGUAAACCGCUUUCAGCAGGGAUGAAAAUGACAGUACCUGCAGAAGAAGCCCCGGCUAACUACGUGCCAGCAGCCGCGGUAAUACGUAGGGGGCAAGCGUUAUCCGGAUUUAUUGGGCGUAAAGAGCGCGUAGGCGGGCUAUUAAGCGAGAUGUGAAAACUGGGGGCUCAACCCGCAGCUUGCAUCUCGAACUGGUAGCCUUGAGUCUGGUAGAGGAGUGUGGAAUUCCCAGUGUAGCGGUGAUAUGCGCAGAUAUUGGGAGGAACACCAGUGGCGAAGGCGGCACUCUGGGCCACGACUGACGCUGAGGCGCGAAAGCUAGGGGAGCGAACA
rnacentral:rRNA from 1 species